GGACAAAACAAAGGGCAGCGAAACCGCGAGGGUAAGCCAAUCCCACAAAUCUGUUCUCAGUUCGGAUCGCAGUCUGCAACUCGACUGCGUGAAGCUGGAAUCGCUAGUAAUCGCGGAUCAGCAUGCCGCGGUGAAUACGUUCCCGGGCCUUGUACACACCGCCCGUCACACCACGAGAGUUUGUAACACCCGAAGUCGGUGAGGUAACCUUUUAGGAGCCAGCCGCCGAAGGUGGGACAGAUGAUUGGGGUGAAGUCGUAACAAGGUAGCCGUAUCGGAAGGUGCGGUUGGAUCACCUCCAU
rnacentral:rRNA from 1 species